GAUGAACGUUGGCGGCGUGCCUAACACAUGCAAGUCGAACGAACAGCCGGAUUCUUCGGAAACCGGUGGGUGAGUGGCGAACGGGUGAGUAACACGUGGGUAACCUGCCCCGAAGCGGGGGAUAACUGCUGGAAACGGCAGCUAAUACCGCAUGUGCUUAUCUGGACGGAUGUCUGGAUAAGUAAAGUUUUUGCGCUUCGGGAGGGGCUCGCGGCCGAUUAGCUAGUUGGCGAGGUAAUGGCUCACCAAGGCGAUGAUCGGUAGGGGGCGUGAGAGCGUGACCCCCCACACUGGAACUGAGACACGGUCCAGACUCCUACGGGAGGCAGCAGUGAGGAAUAUUGCACAAUGGGCGAAAGCCUGAUGCAGCAACGCCGCGUGGGGGACGAAGGCCUUCGGGUCGUAAACCCCUUUUCUGUGGGAAGAGAAAGGACGGUACCACAGGAAUAAGUCUCGGCUAACUACGUGCCAGCAGCCGCGGUAAAACGUAGGAGGCGAACGUUAUCCGGAUUUACUGGGCGUAAAGCGCUCGCAGGCGGCUUCGUAAGUCUGACGUGAAAGCUCCCGGCUUAACCGGGAGAUGCCGUUGGAUACUGCGGAGCUUGAGGACAGGAGAGGAAAGUGGAAUUCCCGGUGUAGCGGUGGAAUGCGUAGAUAUCGGGAGGAACUCCAGUGGCGAAGGCGACUUUCUGGCCUGUUCCUGACGCUCAGGAGCGAAAGCGUGGGUAGCGAACAGGAUUAGAUACCCUGGUAGUCCCCGCUGUAAACGAUGUGAACUAGGUGUCGGUAGUGUUAUGCUAUCGGUGCCGUAGCUAACGCGUUAAGUUCACCGCCUGGGGACUACGGCCGCAAGGCUAAAACUCAAAGGAAUUGACGG
rnacentral:rRNA from 1 species